UCCGUUCGUCUGUGCGUCCGUCCGUUCAGGUUAAAGUUUUUGGUCAAGGUAGUUUUUGAUGAAGCUGAAGUCCAAUCAACUUGAAACUUAGUAGACUUGUUGCCUAUGAUAUGAUCUUUCUAAUUUUAAAGCCAAAUUAGACUUUUUACCCCAAUUUCACGGUCCACUGAACAUAGAAAAUGAAAGUGGGAGUUUCAGGUUAAAGUUUUUGGUCAAGGUAGUUUUUGGUGAAGCUGAAGUCCAAUCAACUUGAAACUUAGUAAACUUGUUGCUUAUGAUAUAAUCUUUUUAAUUUUGAAGCCAAAUUAGACUUUUGACCCCAAUUUCACGGUCCACUAAACAUAGAAAAUGAAAGUGGGAGUUUCAGGUUAAGUUUUUGGUCAAGUUAGUUUUUGAUAAAAUUGAAGUCCAAUCAACUUGAAACUUAGUACAUAUGUUCCCUAUAGUAUAAUCUUUCUAAUUUUAAUACCAAAUUAGAUUAUUACCCAAUUUCACGAUCCAUGGAACAUGGAAAAGGAUAGUGCGAGUGGGGCAUCCGUGUACUUUGGACACAUUCUUGUUUUU
rnacentral:lncRNA from 1 species